GUCUCUAUCAAGGGCCUUAGACAUUUCUACAUAAACAGGACCAUAAACCAAAAGGAAGUUCACUCGUUCACAUCUAGAGAAUAAAUUUAGAGAAUAUAAAAAUAAUAAUAAAAAAUAAAACGCGUAACAUUUAACGAUUGACGAUGCAUGGCUAUACGCAUGCCAUUGCCGUGGACUUUGAGGCCACCUGCUUUGAGGAUCAACCGGUUCAGGAAUUACGUAAAUCGGAAAUAAUUGAAUUUCCAGCCGUUUUGGUCAAUCUGAAAACGGGCAAAGUGGAGGCCGAGUUUCACACUUACGUGAAGCCCGUCGAAAGGCCACAACUGAGCGAAUAUUGCACCAAUUUGACGGGCAUACAGCAGAGGACUGUGGAUGCCGGUGUGACGGUGCAGUCGGCGCUCAAUCGAUUCAUCGACUGGCUCAAGAAGGAGUUGAAGGUGCGCAACCUUGUGCUGCCGAAGAUGAGCGAGACCAAUCCGAAGGGCAACUGCAUCCUUGUCACCUGGACCAACUGGGACUUUGGCAUCUGUUUGGUCAAGGAGUGUGAACGCAAGAAAAUGCGCAAGCCCAGCUGCUUCGAUCAGUGGAUGAAUGCCAAGGCCAUAUACCGCUCCUUCUACAAGUUUUUUCCCUAUACCUUUGAAAAAGCGCUGUCCCGUCUGCGCCUCACAUUCCGGGGACGUGCCCACUCCGGCAUCGCUGAUGCCAGAAAUUUGGCCAAGCUCCUGGUCAGGAUGCACCGUGAUGGUGCCCACAUGGCGGUCACCACCGAUCUGUCGCCAGAGCUGCAGCUCAACGAGAACGAUGGCUUCUGAGUGGCAGUUCUGAAAACCAAAAACACAAUUAACAUAUUGGUUUAUAGGCACAACUCCACAAAGGUAAGCGCUGAAUGGGUUUAUGUUUUUUGUGCUCUUAAACCAUUAUUUUUGCGGCCUUCAGUCGUCCUCUACACAAAAACAAACUACAAUGCAAAAAGUCCAGAUGUGAAUGGGAUAAACUUGAAUACACCACGAAUUACUAACUAGAAUUACACACACCAAAGGACAUGAAGGACGACUAAGAGCUGUGCCUAUGGCUGAACACAAACAAACAAAGAGACUGAGAGCUGUACCAAAAACUGAACACAAACUCGCAAGGUAAUUCGUUGGCUCGUUGCUUUUCCUUUGCUGUACUUUAAAUAAUUUGUUUUGACAGCUCGGCAGGUAAAAUGUAAUCGGGUCUGAAGGCUGCCAACAUUUUACAUGCUGCACUAUUAUAUGUGUAAAACACUCCAACGACACACAUUCUCUGUGUACUUAUAUUCAUUCAAUUAAACAAACAUUUAUACUCUCACUCUCGAUGGAGAAACACUCGUACGUCAAUAUUCAUCUGUAUCUGUAUCUGAAUCUGAAUCUGAAUCGUUCUCAAUCAAGCAUCAACUAAAACAUGCUAAUUGGGGGGUAAGUCAUCCGGACCCUCUUUAUUCAUCCUGCAUAUCCUCGGGUAAUUCGUGAGGAUUCAACAUGCCUGGAAUAUUCCGCUGCAUCUGAUGCUUAUUGGACUGCUCCGCGGCCAGGGCUGCCUCGCGCUCCUUCAGACCUCCUAUAACAAACAACAGCAACAAAUUUAUUAAUCAAAAAAUCCACAGAGGCAUCCUUUGUGGCACUCACGCGAAUCUGUAUGCUGGCACACUCUCGUCCAAAUUGAACAGGCCAGUGACACUCUGGAUGAUUGAAGGCCGACUUCAGCAGCGAUGCGACUUACUCCUGUGUAAAUAUCAUAUCAAUAUCGAGCCUAAACUGCACACAAAAGGUAAGAGCCAAACAAAAUGUAUUCUCUUUUUAUUUUGUACUUCAUUGAAUUUCCUUUGACAGACUUCAAAUUUGUUUGUGCACGAAAAAUCAGCUUCCACAUCUGCCUCGAAAUCGGAACGAAUGCGCCCUGCGAUUUCGAGUGCAGCUAAAUAUUUACACCUGAAGAUGAAUACAU
rnacentral:lncRNA from 1 species